rnacentral:rRNA from 1 species
AAGUCGAGGGUAUUGGUUUCGGACCAAGAGACCGGCGCGACGGGUUGCGUUAACGCGUAUGCAAUCUACCUUUCACAGAGGGAUACGCCCAGAGAAAUUUGGAUUAAUACCUCAUAGUAUAGCAGUUUCGCAUGAAACCACUAUUAAAGUCACAACGGUGAAAGAUGAGCAUGCGUCCCAUUAGCUAGUUGGUAAGGUAACGGCUUACCAAGGCAACGAUGGGUAGGGGUCCUGAGAGGGAGAUCCCCCACACUGGUACUGAGACACGGACCAGACUCCUACGGGAGGCAGCAGUGAGGAAUAUUGGACAAUGGGCGCAAGCCUGAUCCAGCCAUGCCGCGUGCAGGAUGACGGUCCUAUGGAUUGUAAACUGCUUUAUACAGGAAGAAACACUACUUCGUGAAGUAGCUUGACGGUACUGUAAGAAUAAGGAUCGGCUAACUCCGUG